UCACUGUGAUGAUUGAUUUCCAAACAUUCGCAGUUUCCACCAGAAAGGUUUUACCUUAUGUCGGUCAGGUCUUCCUUGGAUGUCUGAGUGA